rnacentral:rRNA from 1 species
CAAUAGCGUAUAUUAAAGUUGUUGCAGUUAAAAAGCUCGUAGUUGGAUUUCUGGUGGGAGCGAUCGGUCUGGCGCUUAGCGCGAGUACUUGCAUCGUCUCCGGCCUUCCUUGGGGAGAGUCUGUCUGGCAUUAGGUUGUCGGGCAGAGGAUCCUCAUCGUUUACUGUGAAAAAAUUAGAGUGUUCAAAGCAGGCUUAUGCCGUUGAAUAUAUUAGCAUGGAAUAAUAAGAUAGGACUUUGGUACUAUUUUGUUGGUUUGCGCACCAAAGUAAUGAUUAAUAGGGACAGUUGGGGGUAUUCGUAUUCCGUUGUCAGAGGUGAAAUUCUUGGAUUUACGGAAGACGAACUACUGCGAAAGCAUUUACCAAGGAUGUUUUCAUUAA